rnacentral:rRNA from 1 species
GACGAACGCUGGCGGCGUGCUUAACACAUGCAAGUCGAACGAAAAUACCAAGCUUGCUUGGUUGAUUAGUGGCGAACGGGUGAGUAACACGUGAGUAACCUGCCCCUUACUUUCCUGGAUAACUGCUCGAAAGGGUAGCUAAUACGGGAUAUUCUGACCAGCCUGCAUGGGUUGGUUUGGAAAGGUUGUUUUUCUGGUAAGGGAUGGGCUCGCGGCCUAUCAGCUUGUUGGUGGGGUGAUGGCCUACCAAGGCUUUGACGGGUAGCCGGCCUGAGAGGGCGGACGGUCACACUGGGACUGAGAUACGGCCCAGACUCCUACGGGAGGCAGCAGUGGGGAAUAUUGCACAAUGGGCGCAAGCCUGAUGCAGCGACGCCGCGUGAGGGAUGAAGGCCUUCGGGGUGUAAACCUCUUUCGUCAGGGAACAAGGCACUGCUUUUGUGGUGGUGUUGAGGGUACCUGGAGAAGAAGCGCCGGCUAACUACGUG